ACUGAUCGAUUUCUUUUGGUUCACGUGAAUCAGCACUCCCUCUAAAAAAUUCCCUCCAAUUUUUGGCUUAACUUCGUCACAACUGUGCUCACACACCACUCAUACCCUAUAAAGCUCCACCAAAUUCUCCAGUUUUAGCAGAAAAGUAUUAGCACCAAUGGCUAUCCGAAGUGUUCAAGAAGCUUUAUCACCAUCUCAUGAUUGUACUUCUCAACCCCCGUCUCUCUUCGAUGGAACUACCAGGUUGUACAUCAAUUAUUAAGGGCCUUAUACUCAACGUGUGUGGAUUACCAGGAAUGUCAAGGUUC